UACGUAGGUUCCGAGCGUUAUCCGGAUUUACUGGGCGUAAAGCGCGUUCAGGCGGUUUGGCAAGUCGGGCGUGAAAUCUCUCGGCUCAACCGGGAGAGGUUGUCCGAUACUGCUGGACUUGAGGGCAGUAGAGGGUGGUGGAAUUCCGGGUGUAGUGGUGAAAUGCGUAGAUAUCCGGAGGAACACCAGUGGCGAAAGCGGCCACCUGGACUGCACCUGACGCUGACACGCGAAAGCUAGGGGAGCGAACGGG
rnacentral:rRNA from 1 species